rnacentral:tRNA from 1 species
UCCCAGGUGGCUCAGAUGGUAAAGCGUCUGCCUACAAUGCAGGAGACCUGGGUUCAAUCCUUGGGUUGGGAA